CAUAUUCUGAUAUUCUCCUCUCUCUCUCUCUCUCUACACUUUCCUUACAAUACACCGACCAAUCCUUCCCGCCACUUCCCUCGCUUCUUCUUUUCUCACACCCCUCUCCUCUCCCAAAACCCUUCUCUCUCUCUCUCUCUCUCUCUCUCUCUGCGUCGCCGAAGAUGUUGUGGGUCGACAAGUACCGCCCCAAAACCCUAGAGAAGAUCACAGUGCACGAGGACAUCGCCAGGAACCUCAAGAAGCUGGUUUCGGAGCAGGAUUGCCCUCACCUCCUCUUCUAUGGGCCCUCCGGUUCUGGCAAGAAAACCCUAAUCUUGGCCUUGAUCAGGCAAAUGUUCGGCGCCGGUGCCGAAAAGGUGAAGUUGGAGAACAAGAUGUGGAAAAUUGAUGCUGGUAGCAGGACGCUUGAGCUAGAAUUGAAAAUGUUAUCGAGUACACACCAUGUAGAGAUGAAUCCCAGCGAUGCAGGCUUCCAGGAUAGGUAUGUUGUUCAAGAAAUCAUUAAGGAGAUGGCUAAGAACAGGCCAAUAGACACCAAGGGCAAGAAGGGAUUUAAAGUUUUAGUACUCAAUGAAGUUGACAAGCUAUCAAGAGAAGCUCAGCAUUCGCUCCGGAGAACGAUGGAGAAAUAUAGUGCAUCCUGCAGGUUAAUCUUGUGCUGCAAUAGCUCUUCCAAAGUUACUGAAGCUGUUCGGUCCCGUUGUUUAAACGUGCGAGUCAAUGCACCCACUGAAGAAGAGAUUGUUAAAGUUCUGGAGUUCAUUGGAAAGAAGGAGAACCUUACUCUUCCAGCUGGAUUUGCAGCUCGCAUAGCAGCACAAUCAAACCGUAAUUUGAGAAGAGCAGUAUUAUUUUUUGAGACCUGCCGAGUGCAGCAAUAUCCAUUCGCUGCAAAUCAAGCGGUGCCACCCCUUGAUUGGGAGCAGUACGUCUCAGAGAUUGCAGGUGAUAUCAUGAAGGAGCAGAGCCCUAAAAGGCUAUUUUCAGUCCGUGGAAAAUUAUAUGAGCUGCUUGUAAAUUGCAUUCCUCCUGAAAUUAUCUUGAAGAAGUUGUUGUCAGAGUUAUUAAGGAAGUUGGACUCUGAAUUGAAACAUGAGGUCUGUCAUUGGGCUGCACACUAUGAACACAAGAUGCGUCUUGGGUCGAAGCCGAUAUUUCACUUAGAAGCAUUUGUGGCCAAGUUCAUGAGCAUCUACAAGGAGUUCCUGAUUGCGUCGUUUGGUUAAAUGAACUCAUAUCAGGUCGCCAUUCCCAAUUGAAACAGCUUGAACCCUUCAAGCAAAGUCUUAACCAAUUAUAGCAGACCCAUCAGUCAGCUGAUAACGGAUGACCUUGGCAAGACUCUGCCUAUUUGGCUUGGCUGGUGCUUCUACGUAAGUACUUUAUUUGAAAUAAGCAUGGAGGGUUUUUCAUUGGAGUUCCCAUUCGAUGACUUUAGCUAUAGUGAAAAGCCGUAGUCUGAUGUUUGUGCAUUUGCUUUUAGUACAAAAGAAUUAGCUUUAUCCCGUGGUUACAAGAUCUAUAAAUUUUCACUUGCUAAAUGCCUCUGCCCUGUAGUUAGUAAGUGCCAUUUCGGUAAGAACAAAAAAUAUCUUAUAAGAUACGCAAGUUCAAACCAUUAAAUUAGCA